AUUGAACGCUGGCGGCAUGCCUUACACAUGCAAGUCGAACGGUAACAGGUUAAGCUGACGAGUGGCGAACGGGCGAGUAAUAUAUCGGAACGUGCCCAGUCGUGGGGGAUAACGUAGCGAAAGCUACGCUAAUACCGCAUACGAUCUACGGAUGAAAACGGGGGAUCGCAAGACCUCGCGCGAUUGGAGCGGCCGAUAUCAGAUUAGGUUGUUGGUGAGGUAAAGGCUCACCAAGCCUGCGAUCUGUAGCUGGUCUGAGAGGACGACCAGCCACACUGGAACUGAGACACGGUCCAGACUCCUACGGGAGGCAGCAGUGGGGAAUUUUGGACAAUGGACGCAAGUCUGAUCCAGCAAUGCCGCGUGCAGGACGAAGGCCUUCGGGUUGUAAACUGCUUUUGUACGGAACGAAACGGUGAGCUCUAAUACAGUUUGCUAAUGACGGUACCGUAAGAAUGAGCACCGGCUAACUACGUGCCAGCCGCCGCCGUAA
rnacentral:rRNA from 1 species